AUUAUAGCCUGUUCUUAUUCCCCUGCUUCCUGAGUGUUUGUAGCAUUGCUGAGUAGGUGAAGAGAACGUGAUUGGUAUGACCAGCAUUUUAAACUACUGAAGUCGUCUACAGUACAACAUUGGAACAAGAACAGAAAGAAACCUGCUGAGAUGAAAGGGAAAAAAAGGGUAAAGUGUGGUGCAGUAAAUCUUCGGAAAAGAAGUCAGAGAGGUGAAGGAAGAAAAAGGCUGGUUAUUCUACAUAAUAAAGAGGGUGGUUUCCAGCUAGGAGCUCUAUCAGACUGCUCCAGGGCCCUUUGGCCGGCACCAACCCUGGAGCCGAGAGGAAAGCAGAAAAGCACAACUGCUGGCAAGGAGGGCCCACGUGCGCUACCACAUUUGCCUUUCAACAGGAACGCAACCCGGCCAAUAUGAGCACCAACAUUUCUGGAUGCUCUGUCAAACAGAACUUUUAGCCAACGACUGCAUCUGUGCCUGAUGAAAUCAAUACUGUAACACGGCUGGACCACAGAUACCCGGAGAGGGGCAGGGAUGGAGGAGCAAGGGAGCUACGACUCGGUCAGCUCUGGCAUCCUCUCCUGCAUGGCCAGCGCGACUGUGCGGGGGCUCAGACGGGCACGAGGCCCCUCAGCCGCAGGAGCGCCGUGCCCAGGGCUCGCCGAGCGGGGCGGCACCGAGCGCGGGCUCCCCUCACCCUCCCUCACCUGUACA